rnacentral:rRNA from 1 species
GCAAGUCGAACGAGAAAGUUCCUUUCGGGGGAUGAGUAGAGUGGCGCACGGGUGAGUAACGCGUAGGUGAUCUACCCUUGAGUUUGAGAUAACCCCGGGAAACUGGGGCUAAUACCGAAUGACGCAUAUAUAUUGGAUUAUAUAUGUUAAAGAGGCUUCGGUUUUGCUUGAGGAUGAGCCUGCGACCUAUCAGCUAGUUGGUGGUGUAAUGGACUACCAAGGCUAAGACGGGUAGCUGGUCUGAGAGGAUGAUC